rnacentral:rRNA from 1 species
GUCAGGAGUUAAGAAAUAUUGUGAGCUAAUACCUCAUGAUCUUGACGGUACCUCCAAAGGAAGCCACGGCUAACUCUGUGCCAGCAGCCGCGGUAAUACAGAGGUGGCAAGCGUUGUUCGGAAUUAUUGGGCGUAAAGCGCGUGUAGGCGGUCUUUUAAGUCAGAUGUGAAAGCCCCGGGCUCAACCUGGGAAGUGCAUUGGAAACUGGAAGACUUGAGUACGGGAGGGGAGAAUGGAACUUCUG